GUCCCCUUCGUCUAGUGGCCUAGGACACCGCCCUUUCACGGCGGUAACAGGGGUUCGANNUUCGAGUCCCCUAGGGGACGCCA
rnacentral:tRNA from 1 species